UACGGAGGGGGCUAGCGCUGUUCGGAAUUACUGGGCGUAAAGCGCACGUAGGCGGAUCAGAAAGUUGGGGGUGAAAUCCCAGGGCUCAACCCUGGAACUGCCUUCAAAACUCCUGGUCUAGAGUUCGAGAGAGGUGAGUGGAAUUCCGAGUGUAGAGGUGAAAUUCGUAGAUAUUCGGAGGAACACCAGUGGCGAAGGCGGCUCACUGGCUCGAUACUGACGCUGAGGUGCGAAAGCGAGGGGAUCAAACAGG
rnacentral:rRNA from 1 species